AUUGAACGCUGGCGGCAUGCUUUACACAUGCGAGUCGAACGGUAACAGGCCGCAAGGUGCUGACGAGUGGCGAACGGGUGAGUAAUGCAUCGGAACGUGCCCAGUCGUGGGGGAUAACUACUCGAAAGAGUAGCUAAUACCGCAUACGAUCUAUGGAUGAAAGCGGGGGACCGUAAGGCCUCGCGCGAUUGGAGCGGCCGAUGUCAGAUUAGGUAGUUGGUGGGGUAAAGGCUCACCAAGCCAACGAUCUGUAGCUGGUCUGAGAGGACGACCAGCCACACUGGGACUGAGACACGGCCCAGACUCCUACGGGAGGCAGCAGUGGGGAAUUUUGGACAAUGGGCGCAAGCCUGAUCCAGCAAUGCCGCGUGCAGGAAGAAGGCCUUCGGGUCGUAAACUGCUUUUGUACGGAACGAAACGGCUCUGGUUAAUACCCGGGGCUAAUGACGGUACCGUAAGAAUAAGCACCGGCUAACUACGUG
rnacentral:rRNA from 1 species